UGGGGAAUCUUGCACAAUGGGGGCAACCCUGAUGCAGCGACGCCGCGUGAGCGAUGAAGCCCUUCGGGGCGUAAAGCUCUUUCGACCGGAACGAUAAUGACGGUACCGGGAGAAGAAGCUGCGGCUAACUACGUGCCAGCAGCCGCGGUAAUACGUAGGCAGCAAGCGUUGUUCGGAGUUACUGGGCGUAAAGCGUGCGUAGGCGGUUUUCUAAGUUCGGUGUGAAAUCUCCCGGCUUAACUGGGAGGGUGCGCCGAAGACUGGGAAGCUGGAGUGUGGGAAAGGCAGGCGGAAUUCCUGGUGUAGCGGUGAAAUGCGUAGAUAUCAGGAGGAACACCGGCGGUGUAGACGGCUUGCUAGACCAUAACUGACGCUGGGGCACGAAAGCGUGGGUAGCAAACA
rnacentral:rRNA from 1 species